rnacentral:rRNA from 1 species
UACGGAGGGUGCAAGCGUUGCUCGGAAUUACUGGGCGUAAAGCGUACGCAGGCGGCGCAUCAAGUCGGAUGUGAAAGCCCUGGGCUCAACCCAGGAACUGCAUUCGAAACUGGUGCACUUGAGUCCGAGAGAGGGUGGUGGAAUUCCUGGUGUAGAGGUGAAAUUCGUUGAGAUCAGGAGGAACAUCAGCGGCGAAGGCGGCCACCUGGCUCGGUACUGACGCUCAUGUACGAAAGCGUGGGUAGCAAACAGG